rnacentral:rRNA from 1 species
UACGUAGGGUGCGAGCGUUAAUCGGAAUUACUGGGCGUAAAGCGUGCGCAGGCGGCCUCUUAAGCCAGAUGUGAAAUCCCCGGGCUUAACCUGGGAACUGCGUUUGGAACUGGGAGGCUAGAGUGUGGCAGAGGGGGGUGGAAUUCCCGGUGUAGCAGUGAAAUGCGUAGAUAUCGGGAGGAACACCAAUGGCGAAGGCAGCCCCCUGGGUUAACACUGACGCUCAUGCACGAAAGCGUGGGGAGCAAACAGG